rnacentral:rRNA from 1 species
UACGUAGGGUGCAAGCGUUGUCCGGAAUUAUUGGGCGUAAAGAGCUCGUAGGCGGUUUGUCGCGUCGGCUGUGAAAUCCCGAGGCUCAACCUCGGGCCUGCAGUCGAUACGGGCAAACUAGAGUGUGGUAGGGGAGACUGGAAUUCCUGGUGUAGCGGUGGAAUGCGCAGAUAUCAGGAGGAACACCGGCGGCGAAGGCGGGUCUCUGGGCCAUAACUGACGCUGAGGAGCGAAAGCGUGGGGAGCGAACAGG